rnacentral:rRNA from 1 species
UUAAGCGACUAAGCGUACACGGUGGAUGCCCUGGCAGUCAGAGGCGAUGAAGGACGUGCUAAUCUGCGAUAAGCGUCGGUGAGGUGAUAUGAACCGUUAUAACCGGCGAUUUCCGAAUGGGGAAACCCAGUGUGUUUCGUCACACUAUCAUUAACUGAAUCCAUAGGUUAAUGAGGCGAACCGGGGGAACUGAAACAUCUAAGUACCCCGAGGAAAAGAAAUCAACCGAGAUUCCCCCAGUAGCGGCGAGCGAACGGGGAGGAGCCCAGAGCCUGAAUCAGUGUGUGUGUUAGUGGAAGCGUCUGGAAAGGCGCGCGAUACAGGGUGACAGCCCCGUACACAAAAAUGCACAUGCUGUGAGCUCGAUGAGUAGGGCGGGACACGUGGUAUCCUGUCUGAAUAUGGGGGGACCAUCCUCCAAGGCUAAAUACUCCUGACUGACCGAUAGUGAACCAGUACCGUGAGGGAAAGGCGAAAAGAACCCCGGCGAGGGGAGUGAAAAAGAACCUGAAACCGUGUACGUACAAGCAGUGGGAGCCUCUUAAUGGGGUGACUGCGUACCUUUUGUAUAAUGGGUCAGCGACUUAUAUUCUGUAGCAAGGUUAACCGAAUAGGGGAGCCGAAGGGAAACCGAGUCUUAACUGGGCGUUAAGUUGCAGGGUAUAGACCCGAAACCCGGUGAUCUAGCCAUGGGCAGGUUGAAGGUUGGGUAACACUAACUGGAGGACCGAACCGACUAAUGUUGAAAAAUUAGCGGAUGACUUGUGGCUGGGGGUGAAAGGCCAAUCAAACCGGGAGAUAGCUGGUUCUCCCCGAAAGCUAUUUAGGUAGCGCCUCGUGAAUUCAUCUCCGGGGGUAGAGCACUGUUUCGGCAAGGGGGUCAUCCCGACUUACCAACCCGAUGCAAACUGCGAAUACCGGAGAAUGUUAUCACGGGAGACACACGGCGGGUGCUAACGUCCGUCGUGAAGAGGGAAACAACCCAGACCGCCAGCUAAGGUCCCAAAGUCAUGGUUAAGUGGGAAACGAUGUGGGAAGGCCCAGACAGCCAGGAUGUUGGCUUAGAAGCAGCCAUCAUUUAAAGAAAGCGUAAUAGCUCACUGGUCGAGUCGGCCUGCGCGGAAGAUGUAACGGGGCUAAACCAUGCACCGAAGCUGCGGCAGCGACACUAUGUGUUGUUGGGUAGGGGAGCGUUCUGUAAGCCUGUGAAGGUGGCCUGUGAGGGUUGCUGGAGGUAUCAGAAGUGCGAAUGCUGACAUAAGUAACGAUAAAGCGGGUGAAAAGCCCGCUCGCCGGAAGACCAAGGGUUCCUGUCCAACGUUAAUCGGGGCAGGUUGAGUCGACCCCUAAGGCGAGGCCGAAAGGCGUAGUCGAUGGGAAACAGGUUAAUAUUCCUGUACUUGGUGUUACUGCGAAGGGGGGACGGAGAAGGCUAUGUUGGCCGGGCGACGGUUGUCCCGGUUUAAGCGUGUAGGCUGGUUUUCCAGGCAAAUCCGGAAAACCAAGGCUGAGGCGUGAUGACGAGGCACUACGGUGCUGAAGUGACAAAUGCCCUGCUUCCAGGAAAAGCCUCUAAGCAUCAGGUAACAUCAAAUCGUACCCCAAACCGACACAGGUGGUCAGGUAGAGAAUACCAAGGCGCUUGAGAGAACUCGGGUGAAGGAACUAGGCAAAAUGGUGCCGUAACUUCGGGAGAAGGCACGCUGAUAUGUAGGUGAAGCGACUUGCUCGUGGAGCUGAAAUCAGUCGAAGAUACCAGCUGGCUGCAACUGUUUAUUAAAAACACAGCACUGUGCAAACACGAAAGUGGACGUAUACGGUGUGACGCCUGCCCGGUGCCGGAAGGUUAAUUGAUGGGGUUAGCGGUAACGCGAAGCUCUUGAUCGAAGCCCCGGUAAACGGCGGCCGUAACUAUAACGGUCCUAAGGUAGCGAAAUUCCUUGUCGGGUAAGUUCCGACCUGCACGAAUGGCGUAAUGAUGGCCAGGCUGUCUCCACCCGAGACUCAGUGAAAUUGAACUCGCUGUGAAGAUGCAGUGUACCCGCGGCAAGACGGAAAGACCCCGUGAACCUUUACUAUAGCUUGACACUGAACAUUGAGCCUUGAUGUGUAGGAUAGGUGGGAGGCUUUGAAGUGUGGACGCCAGUCUGCAUGGAGCCGACCUUGAAAUACCACCCUUUAAUGUUUGAUGUUCUAACGUUGGCCCCUAAUCGGGGUUGCGGACAGUGUCUGGUGGGUAGUUUGACUGGGGCGGUCUCCUCCUAAAGAGUAACGGAGGAGCACGAAGGUUGGCUAAUCCUGGUCGGACAUCAGGAGGUUAGUGCAAUGGCAUAAGCCAGCUUGACUGCGAGCGUGACGGCGCGAGCAGGUGCGAAAGCAGGUCAUAGUGAUCCGGUGGUUCUGAAUGGAAGGGCCAUCGCUCAACGGAUAAAAGGUACUCCGGGGAUAACAGGCUGAUACCGCCCAAGAGUUCAUAUCGACGGCGGUGUUUGGCACCUCGAUGUCGGCUCAUCACAUCCUGGGGCUGAAGUAGGUCCCAAGGGUAUGGCUGUUCGCCAUUUAAAGUGGUACGCGAGCUGGGUUUAGAACGUCGUGAGACAGUUCGGUCCCUAUCUGCCGUGGGCGCUGGAGAACUGAGGGGGGCUGCUCCUAGUACGAGAGGACCGGAGUGGACGCAUCACUGGUGUUCGGGUUGUCAUGCCAAUGGCACUGCCCGGUAGCUAAAUGCGGAAGAGAUAAGUGCUGAAAGCAUCUAAGCACGAAACUUGCCCCGAGAUGAGUUCUCCCUGAGACUUAGAGUCUCCUGAAGGAACGUUGAAGACGACGACGUUGAUAGGCCGGGUGUGUAAGCGCAGCGAUGCGUUGAGCUAACCGGUACUAAUGAACCGUGAGGCUUAACCUU